rnacentral:rRNA from 1 species
CCUACGGGAGGCAGCAGUGAGGAAUAUUGGUCAAUGGGCGCAAGCCUGAACCAGCCAAGCCGCGUGCAGGAUGACUGCCCUAUGGGUUGUAAACUGCUUUUAUAAGGGAGUAAAGUCAGGUACGCGUACCUGUCUGUAAGUACUUUAUGAAUACGGAUCGGCUAACUCCGUGCCAGCAGCCGCGGUAAUACGGAGGAUCCGAGCGUUAUCCGGAUUUAUUGGGUUUAAAGGGAGCGUAGGCGGUCGGAUGAGUUAGAGGUGAAAUCUUGAGGCUCAACUGUGGAAUUGCCUUUGAUACUGUACGUCUAGAGAGUAGUUGAGGUAGGCGGAAUGUGUGGUGUAGCGGUGAAAUGCUUAGAGAUCAUACAGAACACCGAUUGCGAAGGCAGCUUACUAAGCUACUACUGACGUUGAGGCUCGAAAGCGUGGGGAGCAAACAGGAUGAGAUACCCGUGUAGUC